UACGUAGGGUGCAAGCGUUAAUCGGAAUUACUGGGCGUAAAGCGUACGCAGGCGGCUUUGCAAGACAGGUGUGAAAUCCCCGGGCCUAACCUGGGAACUGCAUUUGUGACUGCAUGGCUAGAGUUUGUCAGAGGGGGGUGGAAUUCCACGUGUAGCAGUGAAAUGCGUAGAGAUGUGGAAGAACACCGAUGGCGAAGGCAGCCCCCUGGGAUCUGACUGACGCUCAUGUACGAAAGCGUGGGGAGCAAACAGG
rnacentral:rRNA from 1 species